UACGUAGGGUGCGAGCGUUAAUCGGAAUUACUGGGCGUAAAGGGUGCGCAGGCGGCGUCGCAAGUCAGGCGUGAAAUCCCCGGGCUUAACCUGGAACUGCACUUGAAACUACGAUGCUGGAGUAUGGCAGAGGGGGGAUGGAAUUCCGCGUGUAGCAGUGAAAAUGCGUAGAUAUGCGGAGGAACACCGAUGGCGAAGGCCAAU
rnacentral:rRNA from 1 species